UGGUACCUCUGAAAUGAAAUAAUAACUGAGCCACGGGAUUUGUGUUUCAGGGCUGCUGGAACCACGGGCAAUACAAAGAAUGAAAAUAGCAACUCGAAAACAAAUUCCACAGUUCUUUCCAUGAGUUUGCAAAAGUCUACACAUGGAGAGAUGUGAUAGGUUAUAUUGGGCAACAAUGACAACAAUUCAGUGGGCUAAAGAAAAAGUUUAAUUUCUGCUGAUAUUGCAUAUCCAACAAGGACUGGAAGAGGGAAUCUUCACUUUGGACCCUAAAAGGUCCAGCCUGAUUUUGAAAUUUGAAGACAAAUUGAUAGGUGGAAACACGAUUCAAGAGAAGGUGAACACACCAUUGUUACUACAGACAGAAGGUGGAUUGAGGGAAGAGUGGCUUAUUUAAUUGGUGAAUUUUAGAGAAGAAAUUGAGAAUGUCUGCUACUUUUCAUCCCUCCUGAAACUACUACUAUUUUUAGAGGUGCCUAACAUGUUGACCUGCUCUUUGGUAGGUGGUAAACUUGCCUUGCAAACUCUUCUGCAAGAAAGGCUUGGGAUCUUUCAGUUUAGUUUAUAACUGACUAGAUUUAUCAGUCCAGAUUGGCUAGGUUAUGCUGGGUAACAAACAACACCAACAUUCUAGUAGAUUUUAAAUAAAGGUUUAACUUCUGCUUCUGCUUAUACUGCUUGUCCAACAAGUGUGAGUAGAGACACAGCCUGAUGGAGACUUAAUCUUAACGUUCUCAACUAUGAUUACCAAAGCAGAAAAAUAAAACACAUUAAAUCACAUGCUGGCUUAUGAAAGCCUCCAUCUUUAAGUGACAUGUGCACUCUUGUUCAUAGUUUAUUGGCCAA
rnacentral:lncRNA from 1 species